UCGGCUUAGAGUUUGAUCAUGGCUCAGAUUGAACGCUGGCGGCAGGCUUAACACAUGCAAGUCGAACGGUAGAAGAGCUUGCUCUUGACGAGUGGCGGACGGGUGAGUAAUGUAUGGGGAUCUGCCAAAUGGAAGGGGACAACAGUUGGAAACGACUGCUAAUACCGUAUAAUGUCGCGAGACCAAAGUGUUUCGACAUGCCAUUUGAUGAACCCAUAUGGGAUUAGCUAGUAGGUAGGGUAAAGGCCUACCCAGGCGACGAUCUCUAGCUGGUUUGAGAGGAUGACCAGCCACACUGGAACUGAGACACGGUCCAGACUCCUACGGGAGGCAGCAGUGGGGAAUAUUGCACAAUGGGGGAAACCCUGAUGCAGCCAUGCCGCGUGUAUGAAGAAGGCCUUAGGGUUGUAAAGUACUUUCGGUAAUGAGGAAGGUAACUAUUAACAUAGUUAAUCGACGUUAAUUACAGAAGAAGCACCGGCUAACUCCGUGCCAGCAGCCGCGGUAAUACGGAGGGUGCGAGCGUUAAUCGGAAUGACUGGGCGUAAAGGGCAUGUAGGCGGAUGAUUAAGUUAGGUGUGAAAGCCCCGGGCUCAACCUGGGAAUUGCACUUAAACUGGUUAUCUAGAGUAU
rnacentral:rRNA from 1 species